GCAGCUGUUAAAUCCAGCUGCUGUAUUUCCAUGGAGAGAAAAAGUUAUCUGCCAUACUGCUGUGAGUUUACAGUUAUGCUGUGUUGGACUGGUGCACUGGACAGUUACUGUGGUUCUUAUGGUGAGUGUUUGGUUACAUUGAAUGUAGUAGACUAAUUUGCAUUUAUUUGUGAUGAUGCUUAGAUGCUAAUUCACUGAAUUACCAACUGUAUACAGUCUAGUAUAAAGGCAAUAUACAAUAUACUGUUAGUGUAGGAAAUGGAAACCAGCCAAGAUAGCUCAUGAAACAUCUGCUUACAUGUUGUUGAAUUGAGCUGCAUAAAUCCACAAACAGCAAUGGGUCACCUGAUCACAGCCUCUACCAGAGCUCACACAUCACAGCUAUAUGUUUCAAAUAGCUGCAAAACACCAUCACCAGAAUGUAAUAGUAUAUUAAAGAACAUUAAAGUAUGGAAAAACACUAGACUUUUGGAUGGUGGCUGAAUUUUCUUUUAUUCUCUGUGACGGUGGUUCCACCUUGGCCCUUUUUUUAUUUUAUUUUAUUUAUUUAUUUAUUUUUUACAUCAGGCUUAUUAGUAGUAAAGUUUAACUGGGCAACUAGUAGUCGAUUGAGAGAUGGAGAACCAAUAGCAGACAGUAAAUCAGUAAUGUAAGAAGUCUGUGCUGACAGGGGUAAUAAAGUUACCCCAGUAAACAAGUUUGCAGGUGCGACCUAUGUACAUGUAUGUUUGCUUCCUUAGAAGAAAAGAAAGAAGGAGCAAUCCAGUGUCUUGACAGCUGUGUUAAUUUUCCCUACAAAUUCAAAUGUAGUUUUAGUCUUAGAGUUUUGACUAAAAUGUCAGUUAGUUUUAAUCUUAAUCUAAGUAAUUCUUUCAUUCCUAGAUAAAAGACGACUAAAUCUAAAGACUAAAAUAGAAUAUUUACAAGUUUGUCAUGUUUUUACCCGUGAGAGUUGCUCCAGACACUUUACAUCAAAAAUGUUCAAAAAUGACAUAAAAAAUGUGGCUUCCUCUCAAGCACUGACCUGUUGUUAUUAUUUUGAUGAGAAACAGGGAGCAUGGGUGCUGGCUCUACCAUUUCCCCCAACAAAGCUGUACCAUUUACCAGGGGCAGAUCAAAUCUAACCCAAAACUUUACUUCUUUGGAUCUCGUCUCUCCAGAAUAUCUUCAUCGUCAU
ensembl:lncRNA